AGUGAACGCUGGCGGUAGGCCUAACACAUGCAAGUCGAACGGCAGCACAGUAUGAGCUUGCUCUUACGGGUGGCGAGUGGCGGACGGGUGAGGAAUACAUCGGAAUCUACUUUUUCGUGGGGGAUAACGUAGGGAAACUUACGCUAAUACCGCAUACGACCUACGGGUGAAAGCAGGGGAUCUUCGGACCUUGCGCGAUUGAAUGAGCCGAUGUCGGAUUAGCUAGUUGGCGGGGUAAAGGCCCACCAAGGCGACGAUCCGUAGCUGGUCUGAGAGGAUGAUCAGCCACACUGGAACUGAGACACGGUCCAGACUCCUACGGGAGGCAGCAGUGGGGAAUAUUGGACAAAGGGCGCAAGCCUGAUCCAGCCAUACCGCGUGGGUGAAGAAGGCCUUCGGGUUGUAAAGCCCUUUUGUUGGGAAAGAAAAGCAGCAGGUUAAUACCCCGCUGUUCUGACGGUACCCAAAGAAUAAGCACCGGCUAACUUCGUG
rnacentral:rRNA from 1 species